rnacentral:rRNA from 1 species
CCCUUAGAUGUUCUGGGCCGCACGCGCGCUACAAUGAUGAAUUCAACGAGUUUAUAACCUUGGUUGAAAAGCCUGGGUAAUCUUUUGAACUUUCGUCGUGAUGGGGCUAGACCCUUGCAAUUAUUGGUCUCCAACGAGGAAUUCCUAGUAAACGCAAGUCAUCAGCUUGCAUUGAUUACGUCCCUGCCCUUUGUACACACCGCCCGUCGCACCUACCGAUUGAAUGUUCCGGUGAGCUCUUCGGACUGCGCGGUCUGCAGUUUCUGCGUUCCGUGCGGAAAGUUGCGCAAACCUUAACAUUUAGAGGAAGGAGAAGUCGUAACA